GCAACUCUGCCGCGGCACCGCCGCUGGGACUUUAGUCCUCGCUGUCCUAUUCCUCGUCAUCGCCACCGCUACGGCUCACAACAUCACUAAGCUUCUAGAGAAGCACCCGGAAUUCUCCACUUUCAACCACUACUUGACCACCACUCACCUUGCGCCUGAGAUUAACCGGAGAACCACCAUUACUGUCUGCGUCGUCGACAACUCCGCCAUGUCUGAUCUCUUGGCCAAACAACUCUCCAUUUACUCUAUCAAGAACACUCUCUCUCUCCAUGUCCUCCUCGACUACUUCGGAGCCAAGAAGCUUCACCAGAUCACUAAUGGAACU
rnacentral:lncRNA from 1 species